rnacentral:rRNA from 1 species
AUGAACGCUGGCGGCGUGCCUAAUACAUGCAAGUCGAGCGAACAGACGAGGAGCUUGCUCCUCUGACGUUAGCGGCGGACGGGUGGGUAACACGUGGAUAACCUACCUAUAAGACUGGGAUAACUUCGGGAAACCGGAGCUAAUACCGGAUAAUAUAUUGAACCGCAUGGUUCAAUAGUGAAAGACGGUUUUGCUGUCACUUAUAGAUGGAUCCGCGCCGCAUUAGCUAGUUGGUAAGGUAACGGCUUACCAAGGCGACGAUGCGUAGCCGACCUGAGAGGGUGAUCGGCCACACUGGAACUGAGACACGGUCCAGACUCCUACGGGAGGCAGCAGUAGGGAAUCUUCCGCAAUGGGCGAAAGCCUGACGGAGCAACGCCGCGUGAGUGAUGAAGGUCUUCGGAUCGUAAAACUCUGUUAUUAGGAAGAACAAAUGUGUAAGUAACUAUGCACGUCUUGACGGUACCUAAUCAGAAAGCCACGGCUAACUACGUG